rnacentral:rRNA from 1 species
CAAGUCGAACGAGAAAGCAGGAGCAAUCUUGUGAGUAAAGUGGCGUACGGGUGAGUAACACGUGGAUCAUCUACCCUCUUGUGGGGGAUAACUCUGGGAAACCGGAGCUAAUACCGCAUAAGUCCGAGAGGAGAAAGCAGCAAUGCGCAGGAGGAGGAGUCCGCGGCCGAUUAGCUAGUUGGUAGGGUAAAAGCCUACCAAGGCUACGAUCGGUAGCCGGCCUGAGAGGGCACACGGCCACACUGGCACUGAAACACGGGCCAGACUCCUACGGGAGGCAGCAGUGGGGAAUCUUGCACAAUGGGGGCAACCCUGAUGCAGCGACGCCGCGUGAGCGAUGAAGCCCUUCGGGGUGUAAAGCUCUUUCGGCAGGGAAGAUUAUGACGGUACCUGCAGAAGCAGCUGCGGCUAACUACGUGCCAGCAGCCGCGGUAAUACGUAGGCAGCAAGCGUUGUUCGGAGUUACUGGGCGUAAAGGGUGUGUAGGCGGUCUUCUAAGUUUGGUGUGAAAUCUCCCGGCUCAACUGGGAGGGUGCGCCGAAAACUGGGAGGCUAGAGUGCGGGAUGGGAGAGUGGAAUUCCUGGUGUAGCGGUGAAAUGCGUAGAUAUCAGGAGGAACACCUGUGGUGUAGACGGCUCUCUGGACCGCAACUGACGCUGAGACACGAAAGCGUGGGUAGCAAACAGGAUUAGAUACCCUGGUAGUCCACGCCCUAAACGAUGCAUAUUUGGUGUGGGCCAUUCAUUUGGUCCGUGCCGGAGCUAACGCGUUAAAU